rnacentral:rRNA from 1 species
UACAGAGGUGGCAAGCGUUGUUCGGAAUUACUGGGCGUAAAGGGCGCGUAGGCGGUCUUUUAAGUUCCGUGUGAAAUCCCUCGGCUCAACUGGGGAACGGCACGGGAAACUGGGAGGCUUGAGUUCGGGAGAGGGAAGCGGAAUUCCGGGUGUAGCGGUGAAAUGCGUAGAUAUCCGGAGGAACACCGGUGGCGAAGGCGGCUUCCUGGACCGACACUGACGCUGAGGCGCGAAAGCCAGGGGAGCAAACGGG